rnacentral:lncRNA from 1 species
AUGGACUUUCUGGACCUUAUCAACUGCCUCGGCUUCACACAACACAUCAACUUUCCCACCCACAACCGUGGACACAUCUUAGACCUAGUUUGCUCCAAUGGCCUCCACAUCCACAAUAUUUCCAGCACUGACCUCUCCAUAUCUGACCACCUGGCCAUCACACUUGUCGUUGACACUCCCGCCCCCCAACUCAAACAGGACCGCACAAUAACUUUCCGCAACAUUAAAUCCAUCUGCCCAGUCUCUCUCUCCACCUGCAUUUCAAACACUCUUUCCAGCCUCACCUUUCCUGCAAAUCCAACCCCCAUGGACCUCGUCAACAUCUACAACAGCACACUGUCUUCAUCCCUCAACAAACUGGCCCCCCUGCAAACCAAAACUGUUACCUUUACUCACUCGGCUCCCUGGUUCACCCCGGAACUUCACAAAUUAAAAAAACAACUGCGACAACUAGAACGACUCCACAAGAAAACCGGUCUCACAGUACACGCCCUGGCAUACAAAGAGCACACAAACCUCUACAAAUCAGCACUAAACAAAGCCCGUUCAGUAUACUACUCUGGCAUCAUUCACCCUGGAUCCUCCAACCCACCCACCCUGUUUUCCACCAUAAAUAAACUCCUCAAGCCCCCCGACAACAUUUCAUCCUCAUUCACCCCGGAGAAAUGCAACAACCUCAUUUCAUUUUUCAACUCCAAAAUAGAAAACAUCCACAACCAGCUUGCAACCUCCUCUGCCUCCACCCCAGUCCCCAAACCCACACCGCCUUCAACCUCAGACCACCGGCUCUCUAUCUUCUCACCGAUAACCACUGCAGACCUCUCCAAAAUACUCUCCACCAUGAAAUCAUCCACCUCCCCCCCGGACCCCAUGCCCUCUGAACUCGUCAAAGCCUGUUUUACCUCUGUCGCCCCACUGAUCACUGACACCAUCAACUCCUCCCUUACCUCUGGCACUGUCCCCCCACUUCUUAAACUUGCUGCAAUCACCCCUCUCCUUAAAAAACCUGGUCUUGACACUGACGACCCCAAUAAUUUCAGACCCAUCUCCAACCUCACAUUCAUCUCAAAAUGA